UGAGUCCAUCAUUAUUGAUUUAAUUGCUUGAUUUUCUAAGCAUUUGUUUAUUAACAUUGUUUGUUUUAUUAAUAUGGAUUCACUUUUUUUUUCUAAUAUUGCUUGGUUAUGUUAAUAUAGGGUCCACUUUUUUGUUCCCGUGAGUUUGGAUGUGGUGAGUUCCACUUUUUUUUAUUGCUCGGUGUUAUUUAGUAUGGGGCCCAUCCUUUUUUUAAGGGACAACGGACGAUGAAGCAUAGGUCUAAACCCAUGCUUUAUAUAGUUUUUUUUAUUUUUUAUAUCCCCUGGUGUUGUUUAGUAUGGAGCCCGCCCUUUUGGACAUUAUUAGUUUGCACUAUUUUUAUGCAUAUAUAUAUAUAUAUAUAUAUAUAUACAUACUAUGUUCAAAAAAUGGUUGAUAUAACAUUGUAAUUUGUGCUCCGUAGCUAAAACUUUAUUAUAUUAGUGUUUGCUAAGAAUACAAAGUCUGCACUUUUUUUUUAUACUGUUUAUUUUUUUAAUAUGGGAUUCACUUUUUUUUUUAUAUAUAUAUUGCUUGAUUUUGUCAAUAUGGGAAACUAUGUUCAAAACACGAUUAAUAUAACAUUGUAGUUUGUGCUCCGUAUUUAAAACUUUACUAUAUCAGUGUUUGCUAUGAAUACGCAUGAUGUUUAAUAUGAGGCUCACAUUUAUAACAUUGUAAUUUUGUGCUGGAGCCCGCCCUUUUGGACAUUAUUAGUUUGCACUAUUUUUAUGCAUAUAUAUAUAUAUAUACUAUGUUCAAAACAUGGUUGAUAUAACAUUGUAAUUUGUGCUCCGUAGCUAAAAAUUUAUUAUAUUAGUGUUUGCUAAGAAUACAAAGUCUGCACUUUUUUUUAUACACUGUUUAUUUUUUUAAUAUGGGAUUCACUUUUUUUUUAUUAUUUAUAUAUAUAUUGCUUGAUUUUGUCAAUAUGGGAAACUAUGUUCAAAACACGAUUAAUAUAACAUUGUAGUUUGUGCUCCGUAUUUAAAAUUUUACUAUAUCAGUGUUUGCUAUGAAUACGCAUGGUGUUUAAUAUGGGACCCAUAUUUUUUUUAAUAUUGUUUGUUUUUUUAAUAUGAGAUUCACUUUUUUUUAAUAUUGUUUAAUUUUGUUAAUAUGGGGUCCACUUUUUUUUCCCGUGAGUUUGGAUGUGGUGGGUUCCAGUUUUUUUUUUAAUACUGCUUGGUGUUUAAUAUGGGGCUCACAAUUUUUUUUAAUAUUAGUUGUUGUUUAAUAUAUAUGGGGCCCAUAAUUUUUUUUACAAUUUUUUUUUAAUUAUGGGCUGUUUAAUAUGAGGCCAAAAUAUUUUUUUUUAUGAGGGGCCCACAAUGGACCACGAAAAGGGAGCCCAACCCAUGCUUUAGUAGAAAAAUAAUAAGUAAAGUAAAGUAAUCUCUAGAUUUUCGAGGACGGGUCUUUGAGUUCUCUUCGUCUUUCACAUCUGGGUGUUGCGAAUUUAGGGCAGCUUUUAUCUCAAUUUUUUUCCUAAUUUUCUUUCGGUUCUCUUCAAAUUUACCAAUUUUAUGGCUUAAAUUCAUUGUUGUUGUCAAUAUUUUUCUGCUUAAUCAAAAUUGUUUGUUUAUUUCUCUUUUACGUCCUUAAUCAGUCUACUAUUAUUUUGCGUCCUUGCAUGAUAUUAUUUUUCUUCAAACUACUAUUUCAAUUCCCUUCAUCUUCUCAGCUAGGUGUUCUAAUUACAGGUAUGCUUUUCUUUCAAUUUUGCCCAAAGUUCAUCACAUUACAAUCUACAAAAGAAUAAAGAAUAAAUACGACAAAUUUUGCUUUCAGGUAUUGCUCAUAGUUGAAAUUUGCCUCACAGAACUUGGGGAUAAACAAUAAUUCAGAAACUUAAUUAUAAGCUUUUGAUUUCAAUUUUCUUUUUACUUGAUUCUGGCGAAGGCGUCAUUACAAUGAAACUCGGCAUUUUUAUUUUCCUAUACUAUUGCUCAAAAUGCACUUCUUUUAGAAGUAUACGUUUUGUCAAUAUGAUUAUAUCACUCAUCUCUAUUUCAUCGGAGAAGUUCACUGAUUAAAUGGUUUCCAGUUAUGACCAGUUAACAACAACCCAGUGAAAUCCCACAACGUGGGGUCUGGAGAGUGUAUAGUGUACGCAGACCUUACUCCCACCAAGGUAGGACGGCUAUUUCCGAAAGACCCUCGGCUCAAUAGAAAGCAUAAAAAGAGGUCAGAUAAGGUCAGUUAACAAGAAAACAAAAAAAUCACCCUAGAGCGUAGUUCUCAAAUUAUAAGAUAUGAAUAUGUGCCUACUAAUUAAUUUUUAGAAGAGCAACUAAACUGAACUAGAUGUCCUAAGAGUGAAGCAAGGGACAACCAAUGGCAUUUCAAUAAGAGUGAAGCAAGGGACAACCAAUGGCAUUUCAAUAAUAUAUUGCUAAUUUGAGGGCAGAUUGUCAUACGUAUAAUCUCAGCUUUCUCCUUCGUAUCCGUUACUUUCUGGAAUCAACUCGCUCUUCCACAGCUCUCCUAAUUUUUCAGAUUUUUCAAUAUCGAUGCGGGUUUGCUCGAGCGGGUAGCUUUGCCGUGUUCAUGAGCAACAAACCAGGUUAGGUUAUCUAGAGUGCUGAUGUUUCUGGUGAAAAGUAUGAGAAAAUGAUAUGUCAUAUCAGGUCUUCCAUUUGAACUAUGUCCCUUCUCUUUAUUACAAUACGGGAUUUUUCUUCUCAUUAGUAGCACUAAUGACUCUGCACUCAACGCUAUAAAUUGGAUAAAGCUUGAUAGAUUAGUCUAAUUUGUAUGAUGAUGAAACUAGAGAGCUUAUCAUAACAAGUUACACUUCAGGUCUCAUGUGCAUGCAUAGCUUUACUCGCCUAUUCUGAAAUAAAAUAACAAUUUUUUAUGA